UCGCGGGAUAUAUCGAUCAUGUCGCUGUUAUCAGCUCAGAUUGUGAGUGGAACGUCCAUAAUAUUACCAUGGAGUAUAAUUGGGGGGUUUAGCGACAGCUGUUCAGUGGGGGAAUUUUACGAAGACCUGAAACGUGGCAAGUUGGACUUGGAAUUUUUCACUUUCCCAGAAAAGUUGUUAAUCCCCUUGUACUGUAGAAGUCGGUCGCUCUAAAACAGAUUCAUUUGAUCGUGUUAUGCCUUCAGUGCACUUAUCAGAAGUAGUGUCUCUAUUCGGACGUUACAUAAGAUUUACAGCCAGAGUUAAAAGCCUUUUUAGAACAUUGUACUACAUCCAGGUCUUACUCCUUUUGCAUUAAUAAAAAAAUGUGCUGAUCCAAGUUGUUCCAUCUGUACUAGGCCACGCUUGCCUCCUGAGGUUUUUGAGCAGUUACAUCGAUUUCCAGACCCAAUACUGAGUACCCGGUGAAGAUGGGCACUACAAGUCAUUUGAUGAAGUUUAUGGUAGUGAAACUACGGAGGAGCACAGGCCAUCUCUUCAGCAAAGGGCUACAGCGAAUCCAGGUCAUGGGAUACCAUUUUCCCCAAGUGCGCAAGCAGCAAAAACAGUAAAGUGUGUGUUUAUUUGUACAGAAUGUGAAAAACCUUGUGUAGUAUAUGCUGCUAACAAAUUGUCAGAGCAGGAAAUGGCCACUAUAGAGCGCAUUCAGCAGUUAAUUCAAUAUACGUGUGGGUCAUCCCUGCAAGAACUUAAGACUGCCGAUAACAGAACACCACAAGUGAAUGCUUUAUUAGACAAAUGUUUCACCAGGGCCAACUUAACAUGUGAAAUGUCAUUAGAAGUUCCAUAUUUCAGUUCAGGAUGUUUCAAGGACUUGUGUUUUCACUGUGGUGAGGAAGAUGAGCUGCAAAUGAAGCAGGGGCAUAUCCCAUGUGUCUUAAUUGUUCCUCUACAAAAACUCUUCCUUUGAAAAGGAAACAUGUUAAUCUUAAAGAAACUGUUAAAACAAAGAAAAGAGGGAAAUAAACUGUGCUUUUGUAUUUCAUUAUAUGCUAUUAAAUACACAAUAAAAAAGUAACACAACAAGCUAUUUCUACAUUUGAUGCCUUUUGAAAU